AGCAGCAUGAACCUGUCUCACUGCAGAAUUAUUUUGAGACAGGCUUAUGCUGCUAU
rnacentral:pre_miRNA from 1 species